CUCCACCGAAACGCCCAAAAUACAAACCGGUGGAACAAAAAACUAUUCACAUAAUUUUCUGGAAUUUUAUUCUUACUAGGGUUCUCAGUUCAGGAUGAGAAAUUAUGUCAACAUCAUCAUCUGUGUUAGAUGCAGGGGACGAGGCCAGAAGAAAAUCCCUAAAAGAGGAACAACCUGAAGAACUUAGUGGGAGGAAUUACUAGCCAGAAUGAUGAGACCGAAGCUGAGGUGAUUGGCGAGAGAGUGGAGGAAGCUAAAGUUGAUAGUACCUAACAGACUAUGUUUAACGCUGGGGAUGCAUCUAGCAGAAAGCCACUUCAGAAGGAAUUGUGGAAGAUUUUAGUGGAGGAUAAUAGUAACCAGAAUAAUGAGACUAAAACAAAGGUGACUGACAAAGAUGAUGGUUUAAGAGUGGAUGGAGCUAAAGUUGAUAGUACCGAACAGAUUGCAUUGCAUGCUCGUUCUAUUCAAGUGUUAGAUACUGGGGAUGAGACCAGCAGGAAAUCCCUGAAAGAGGAACUACUGAAGACUAUAGAAUAGGAAAGUAGUAAGCAGAAUGGUGAGACUAAAGAGAAGGUGAUUAAUGAAAAUGGUGGCUUGAGAGUGGAUGAGGAUAAAGUUGGUAGUAGCAAAGAGACUGCAAAUGGGUGCCCAACAUUAGGGUUUGCAGCCAUGCCUAACUUCUGACUUCUGUUCUUUAGCCUAUAAUGGCGUUCGCUGAAUUUGAUCUGUUAAGGUCAUGGUGAUUCUUCAAACUCACUACCUGUCAAAAGAUAAUGAUAACUUGCUUAUGGAAAAGAUGUUCCAAUGAGUGAAGGCCUAAAGGGAAUUAAUGAAGAUGUGCCGAAAAUUGGUUUACAGGACUGAAGUAUUAGAAGUGGUCCCUCUUCAUACGUACGUAAAAGAAGUAUCUCCUCUUGAUUAAGAUGAUACUAUUUGGUGCCACCCUACCACCAAAUGCUUUGGAGAUUAAUAACUAUGGCAUUUAAAGUGCCUCAUUAUUGGGUGGAGUAUCAGUACCAUCUUCAACAAGGUCGACAGUCUCUCAAGUAGCUCAACUCUACAGCAAGAUUUCAUGUAUCAAGGUAGAUGUUUUACCUUGUUCUCGAUCCCUUGCAGAUGCAGUCCAAAAUUGAGAUUUAGGUGAUCGCUGUGUGAAAUGGUUAAAGGCGAAGCAGGAGGCCAGCAGAAACUCCCGAGAAGAGCCACCACUAAAGAAGAAGAAGUUGGAGGAGAAAAAUGGUAAUCAGAAUGAUGAGGCCUGGCAGUUUGAGAGAGUUUUAAAAACGUGCUAGGUUUGAAGAUGGAAAAGAAGUCCAUCAGUUUGAUUAUAUGUCGCCUAAGCCUUGGUAUCCUGAGAGAAUUCUGAAUCCUUACAUUAUAUGGUUGUGUGGCAACUGAAGAAGACAGUUAGGGGUUCUCAGUUCAGUAUACACAGCAGAUUAUGCCAAUGUUAACACCAACAUUAUCAGCAUUACCUGCAUUGUACACUCGCAUUAUUCGAGUGCUAGACACGGGGAUGAGGCCAACAGGAAAUCCCUGAAAGAGGAACUACUGAAGAUUGUAGAGAAGGAUAAUGGUAAGCAGAAUGUUGAAACCAAAGCUAAGGUGAUUGACGAAAAUGAUGGCUUGAUAGUGGAUAAGCAAAACGACUGGGAAGAGUUUAAGGCUAGGCAGGAGGCAAUCAGAAAGUCCCUAGAAGAGCCUCCUCUAAAGAAGAAGAAGUCAGAGGAGAAAAAUGGUAAUCAGAAUGAUGAGGCCAAGGAAGGAUUCAGAGGAUAAACCUUUGUCAGGUGGUUUGAUAGAUUUAGUAUGAGUCGUUCUUUUUCAUUUGACAAAAUUAGGCACUUCUGCCGACUCUUAACUCUUGUUAAAGAAUAAAGAAGAAGUUCUUUAGGUAACUCCCUUCCUCAGGAAAACUUCAUAAACCUUGGUAUUUUGAGAUUCACGCGGAACAGUUUGAUUUGAUGUCAUCUAAACCUUGGUAUCCUGAGAGAUGGUAGUGUGGCUGCUAAAUAAGACAGUGUUUGGUUAUUUCCUAACUUGAAAAUGAAGAAUAUGUAUGCUAGAAUGCUUUAAUCAUGAUGGAGACAGAAAUGGUGGAGGAUUCCAAAGUAAACUGCAAGUGGUAAUUGCGAUUUGUUGCACGCA